rnacentral:lncRNA from 1 species
CCACCUGCUAGCUACAUCAAGGGAAAUUACGUCAAAAUUCAGCUUGGGGGAGAGCACCCCCAUUUAUCCCGAUAAGUAUUUCUAUCUAUCUAUCUUUAUACUUAUACUGUAUUAAAAUAUAGAUAUACAUAACUAUGAAAAACCAAAUAAAGAUUUUGUGUUUAUAUAUAUAUAUAUCUUUUGCUUAGUGUGUUUAAUAAAUAAAUAAAGUGGCUAUGCUAAUCUGUAUCGAAAUAAAACUCAAGCAUGGAUAUGAUGAAUAGUUGCUCUGCCUAAUUUUUAAAAUUUGAAGUUCUCUCUCAAGUUUAGACAUAACUGUUAUAAUUUAAAGCUUGCUCUAGACCUAAACUUGGGGGAUGAAAACUUGAUCUGAAGUCUAAGUUGUUAACGGAUAUGAUAUGGGAAGGUUGAGCUGCUGUUUAUCUGUUCCUAGAGAUGCUAGAAUUCUGAAGAAUUUUAUCUUUGAAAAAUCUUUAAAAUAUUGUAUGAUGAGUUCCCGUAUGAUGAGAGUUUAAAUUCCUACCACAACCAUAUAUACAUGCUUGCUAGACUUUGAGCCACACAUUCACUUUUUACUGCUUAUAAUCAUUGAGUGUGGUCAAGCUGCGUAGACCCUAAGGAGCUUGUCAUGCGGUUAAAAUCAAGAUUCACUUGCACGUUCACUCAUAUAUGCUACUUCUACUCCGGAAGUACCAUCCACAUAUAUCCAUCCAUUUCCAUCUCCAGAAUCACCUAAAAAUAUUCUACUCCUAAUUCAGGAGAGAAUAGCCAAAAACAUCUAUGUUUUUCCCCUGUGAAAUAAAUGCUCAAGUUAUCUUGUUACUACCACUUGCUAUAUUAUCUCAAGAGAUGAGUGCUUUGAAAAAAAAGAAAGAUACGAGGAAAUAAAAAGGGGCAAGUGACCGGAACCUCGAAAGGAAAGGAAAAGUGAGACGAGAGGUAAAAAUGGACAAGUGUCCGACAGUAGAAUUAGGGGUACAAGAUACCCAUCUGAGAGAAAAGAAAAAAAAGAGCAUCUCAUUCUCCUCACAAAGUUUCAAAAAGCAAGAAAGGUAUGUAUCCCCUUGAAAGAGCAAAAGUAGAAUUAGACUUCCACCAUUACCACCAUUAUCACCAUACACCAUUCAUUCGUCACACAAGCACAUCUUGAUUUGGCUUAAUGAUUUGUUUCUUUGGAUCCGUGGUUUGACUAUACAAUAAAUGUCUUGUAAGUAUGUAUAUUAUCUCCCACCUAUGAGCUCCAGAUAUUAAAGCCUUAUUAGAGUAGGGUGAGAGAGAAGACAAUGUCACUAUGCUUCAUACCACAAAUACUAUAUAUAUUGAGAGAAGGCAUAUACCAUCACUGCCUUGGUAAGGAUCUAGAAAUACCACAAAAGAGAGAUAUGAGAGAGUCAUACAAGGAAUCUCUGAGUUUUAUUUGAAAAUCUGCAAAAAAACUCCAGAGUUAUAGCUGAUCAAGAAUAAGAGACAUGGCACUUGACUAGACUGUUCUAUCUUUUAAUUGCUCAAGAUGGAAGUGACAGUUACAAGUCCCAAAGUGAAAGGUAAAGUAAGUAAGUUUUAAGUCUUGACAAUUUACUCUAACUCAGAGAUAAGACCUCAUUUAAAAAGCAUAUGUACCAUCAACUUUUAAAAAUAUUGCAACAACUUCUGAUCCAUCGCUGAGAUUAUCCUUGCUCAGGGACGAGCAAGAGUUAAGCUUGGGGGAGUUUGUUGACGGUCCUUAAGUAUCAAAUUUAAUUAUCAAAUAAACAAAGAAAAGGAUCCAAAUGAAAUCAACAUCUAGACUUAGGGUUUUAUCUGACAGAAUUCCACGAGUUUUGGUAUUUGUCUAUUUCUAUAGGGGGUUAUCAGGAAAUACAAAAGAAAGGCCCACACGUCGGGAUUACAUAGAGAUAUUAACGUACCGCGCAAUUAUCUUACAUCUAGAAGACUCCAGAAGCCACGGGAAGAAAGCGGAGGCCGAACGGGGCCAGAGGCAGGGCGCCCACCCUCCUGCCCUGGGCGCCUGCCCUGACCUGGAGUCCAAUCAGGACUCUGUUUCUCGGGAGAUCUCCACCGACCUAAAGGAUCAAGGAUAACCGUUCAAUCUAUGUCGGUUUGAUCUUACGGCCCAGGUUCACUUGAGGGGACUAUAAAACCAGACCCCCUGGCCCCUGGAGGAGGCAACCCCUUGAUCAUUAUUCAUAGACAGAGCAAAAGCUAGGGUUCAGAGAUGAGAGCUCUCCUCUCUUCUCUAAACUAGAGUAGAUCUAGAUAGUAGCGAGAUGGAGAGCGAAGGAGGAUUAGAGGAGAGGCCGGCCUAUCGGUUCUUCCUCCGGUUGUACUUCGUCAUGAUCAAGCUCUAAUCAAGCUUGCUCAUGGGAUGACUCUGGUAAUCUACUUCUAAUUCAUUAUGCAAUUACUAAUCAUGUAUGUUCUGCUUCACAACUCUUUUGAGUACUUCUAAUCUAUAGGACGCUUGUUGGCGGUCCUUAAUGCUCAUAUUUAACCAUCAAUUAAUCAUAGAAAAGGAUCCAAAUGCAACCAACACCUAGACUUAGGGUUUUAUCUGACAGAAUUCCACAAGUUUUGGUGUUUGUCUAUUUCUGCAGGGGGUUAUCAGGAAAUAUAAAAGAAAGGCCCACACGUCGGGUUUACAUAGAGAUAUUAACGUGCCGUGCAAUUUUCUAUCAUCUAGAAGACUCGAGAAGCCACGGGACCGAAGCGGAGGCCGAGAGGACACAGGGACAGGGCGCCCGCCCUCCUUUCCUGGGCGCCCGCCCUCAGCCAGAGUCCAAUCAGGACUCUCUUUCGGGAUAUUGCUCCACCGACCUAAAGGAUCAACAAUAACCGUUCAAUCAAUGUCGGUUUGAUCCGACGGCCAAGAUUCACUUGAAGGGACUAUAAAACCAGACCCCCUGGCCCCUGGAGAUCAUACCUCUUCUACAGAAUCAAAGCUAGGGUUUCAAUUCUUCAUCCAAGUAGAGAGGAUCCCUCUAGUUCUUCUAGUUCUACUUCUAGUUCAUCUAGAUCUAGUUCUAGUUCAUCUAGUUCUAGUUCUAGUUCCUCUAGUUCUAGUUCUAGUUAGUUCUAGUUGUAAUCUAGAAAAUAGGGAGAGAGAAGAGGAGAGCGGAGGAGGAGCCGGAUCUGUCGGAUCUUCCUCAACAUUAUACUUUUGCAGCAUCUGGUUCGUUCUUCAUCGUUCUCCAGGUUCUUCAAUUCAUAAUCCUGAGUUCUCUAAUUACUUUUAUUUACAUUCAAGUUAUUUAUUGGAUUCCCGCUAGCAUCAAGUGCUCUAGUCCUUAUAAUGCUAGAGUAGUAAUUAAUAGAUUAGACGUGGUGUUUAGUCUUGCAAUUACCUGGAAUUGCACCCAAUCCUGCGGAUUGUUGUGGUAGCCUUAGGGUAGUGACAGCCCUAACGGUCGACGUAUUCCACCACGUUCGGAUCGGUGUUUGUAGGACCGUAGUCAGACCUUCCUAGCCCCCUACUCAUCUUUUUCUGUGGUUAGUGCUCUGAUGUCUCGAAAUAGAUAAUCUUGAAGUAAUUCUUGAUUCUUAGAUCAACUAGAGAACUCUCAGGAAACUUCCUCUCUUCCCACCAAAAAUAAUUAUAUAGUUAUCCUUGGGCGAUCUUGGAUCUUAAUUAGUACACUCACGUUCCCUGUGGAAAAUCGAUACUCUGGAAUACUCUCGGGUGAAGGCUACAUCGGUAUCCGUGCGCUUGCGGAUUUUUCUGUUUGCGUUUAAAAUACCCAACAAGCUUUCUGGCGCCGUUGCCGGGGAAUGGUAGCUGUGCUAGUUUCGAACCAAGUCGUCCGUGUAUCCUUUUUCUUUUCCUUUUUUACCACACUCACCCUAUCACUUUCACCAUACCACAUGGAUUUCACUCUAAGCAUUAAUGAGCAUGGAAUUUAUUUAAUAGCCACUUCAUUUGCUCCAUGCUCAUAUGCAACAUCUUCACAAUCCAUUGGUCUCUCCAACAUCACCACAUUCGAGAUCUCCAACCCCCUCAUCCUUUCUAUUUAUAAAAACUUUAAAAGGGCGGUUGUCGAUGCAUAUGUCUAUAAUAAAUUUUGCAGAUCUCGUUGAGUUGAUCUUGAUAUAGGUCAGCGUUGGAGGGGAAACCACUUCACUGACAUAAAUGGAUGGUUUCCCAAGGACAAACUUAGUGUCCUAAAACAAGCACUGAUCAGAUGUAACAUGAGCUUUUAAUUAUUUGCAACAUUACCUUGUGAAUUGAGCAUAUAAGGAUAAUUGUAAAAAUUCCUUCGGGUAUUCUUGUCACUAACCUUUCCAAGAUUAGAGCAAGAAGAUCGGAUGAAUGACAAGCACAAGGUAUGCCCAACCAAUCAUCAUACAACAUUUAAUUAAAUUCAUCCAAACUUGAAUUUUGCAAAAUUCAAGCUUGGGGGAGUACUUUACAUAAAAACAUCCUUUGUCAUGUUGCUAUGUUGGUUGUCCCUACCUUUGAGACAUGCUCAAUUUGUUAAAUACCAAUCACACUACUUCAUCUCCACUUGAGUAGAUCUCUAUAGAUGCUCUCAUGCUACCUUUAUUUGCUUUAGUAUAUAUCUAGGUUUGGAGUAGUUUCAUUUAUCUCUUAAUUAAGCAUGGUGCUUAGUUUAGGAAUGAUGAUCUUAUUUCCAAAGGAUUUUAAAUUAAGCAUGAUGCUUAGGUUAAAAUUCCCUCCUAAAUCAAAUUAGACAUGGUGUCUAGGUUGAUCUUUGAGCCGAUAGUAUGCUAUAGUAGAUAUUGGAUAUUUUGUUGGACUAACCCCUACAGGAAAACUUUCAAUACCGACCUGGGAAGUCCUGAGACAAACUCACAUUGGAGACAAAGAGAGAGGCACAUGAAGUUUAACAAUUUACACAAGGAAGGCAUGGCUCAUAAGAGAUGAUCUAUGGAGGGUGCCACAAACAUGAUGCACAACCGCUAAGAAAGGAAAGCUUCCACAAGGUGAUACUGUACCAUCACUCUUCAAGUAAGGUAACAUCUUAAAGUACUUGACUAUCACUUCUAUAAGCUUCUCCUUGGUUCUGGCGUUCACAUGAAUAAAGAGACAAACAUGUAUGAUUUACAACUCUAGAUGAACCAACCCAAUAGAUUCAACAUGUUUAGUCCUUCCACCUUUGUGAUCCCACACUCCUAAUCAUAUUAGCUAAAAUGUUGCACACUCAAUCUUUGGAAGAAAAAAACAAAACAUAUAUAUAGAUAGAUUAUCUUUCCAUAAGGUUGAGCAAUCGAAUCUGACAAAUGUUAAAUACUACACUCAUGAUUUUAUUAUCGAUCAACUUUGUCUUGCUCACUAUGCUUGAGGUUAGAGAAGAACAAAUACACUUUUGGUUCUAUUGGUGUUUUCCACCAACAGGGCCCAUGCACUUGAUCUCUGCCUUGUCUCUAUGAGCAGGUACACUUCGAGCAAAAUAUGAAGGACUUUUACAACUCUCAGACUCCACUAAGUGAAGAACCUAGAUCUAAUUCAAGCACAAACACACUGGAGAUACUGGACACUCAGGCAAUCACUGUCCUGAGAUGCUUGAGGACGUAACUACUGGAGUAACCCCGUUGUGGAAGUAAUUACUGACCUUCUGCCAGUCAAGAGAGGCGAUCCAGGACGCCCCAUCAUCCCGAUCUCCAUCGGCAUGGUGGACUUCCCAAAAGCACUCUGCGACUUUGGCUCCAGCGUCAACAUUAUGCUUAGGAACCUCUGCGUCCGAGUUGGUACCUUGUACGCCCCAGCAGACUUCGUGGUGAUAGAGACUGGUACUGAUGAGAGGACACCCAUCAUCCUAGGGAAGCCAUUCCUGAACACCUCAGGAGCUGCCAUCUACGCUAAUGCUGCCAAGAUCAGUUUCUACAUCAAGGGGAAGAAGGAGACGUUUUCCUUCAAGAACAAGACUACACAAAUCUCAGAGCAAUCCUGACAUGAAACAAGGAAGAGGACCAACAGGAGGAAGAGGAACAAGCAAAUGUGGACCAAGUCAGCAAAGAUGGUCACUGCAGUUCAAGGAGGUCAAGAUCGUCGACUUAAGUCACCGUUCCUAACCAAAAAGGAUGACCCAAGUAUGCCAAGCAUCCAGUGCUCCAUUGAUGGAUACAACUUCCAGAAGAUGCUUUGCGACACCGGGUCAGGUGUCAACAUAAUGGCUGCCAGUCACCUAUCAGCUCCUAUUCGGAACCAUGCCCCUAAAACCGACAUACAUUCAGCUCCAGAUGAUUUUAAGGUUAUUGACAUGGGAGAAGACAAGUACGAUCCACCCAUCAUCCUUGGAAGACCGUUCCUCAGCACUGUUAAAGCAAUCAUCUACAUUGGCACCGGAGAAGUCCACAUGCACUUCCCCUCUGAGAAGGUACGCUGCUAUUUUACUGAGCUUAACUAUAUAGUUAAAGACUCUAAGCAGGUCAGGACAAGAAGAAGACGACGCAACCGCAACCAGAGAAGGCAAAUCAUCAACGACGGAUGGGCGGACUACGAAGGAGAAGUGGUAAUGUCAGAAGACAUACAGCUUGAACAGAACUGUCCUGAGGAGACCGUAGCACCGAGUUAGGUGUGGAGAAAGAAGAUAGUUAUACAUGAAGAGGAGGCACCGCCGGAACCACCGACUACGCCAUCCAGCGAAUCCCAGGACGACUGAGAAAACGGAGAGUCCCCUUCGGAGGACUUAAAAACACCGAACACCUUGCCAAGAGGUAAACUUGGUAGUUAUCUUUUUCCUUUCAAUUAUUUUAAAAUAGUUUGCUUAGUUAAUUAGGUUCACAUCAUCUUAAAAAGAAAAUAAAAAUGUUAAAAAUAGUAAGCCCCAUGUGAGUAUGCUCAUGGCAUAAAACCCAUAAGUACAUUCACUGUGGUGGCAUAAAAAAAUGAAAUAAAUAUAUUCCUAUCCUAUAAAAAUAAAAUUAUAAAAAACUAAAUUUAUAAUCCUACUAAAGAGAGUAACAUUUAUUAAGGAGGCUCAACAUGAUAAAGGCUAGAUAUUUAUGCUAACACUUAACUAGUUCCACAAAGUUUUGUUGUCUAUUUGAGCUCCACAGAAUUCAAGGAUCAAAGAAGACUAGCAGACGGAGGACAUUCUAAUCGCUAUCAGAGUGCUGCCGACAUUCAAAUACACAUCCGCCAGCUGCUAGCUACAUCAGAAGAAAUUUCGUCAAAAUCCAGCUUGGGGGAGAGCACCCCCAUUUAUCCAGCUAAGUAUUUUACUCACGUUUAUACUUUACUCCAAUAGUAAAAAGAUGCAUAAUCAUAUAAACCCAAAUAAAGAUUUUGUGCCUAUAUAUAUAUCUUUGCUUAGUUUGCUAAAUAAAUAAAUAAAUAAAGUUUGCUAUGAACCCUCAUGAUAAGCUCUCACAUGGAAAUAAUGAAUAGUUGCUCUGCCAUGACUAGUUCUUAAAAUUUAAAUCUCUCUCAAGUUUAGGCCUGACUGUUACUAAUUAAGAUUUACUCUAAACCUGAACUUGUGGGGAGAGUACUUGAUCUAAAGUCUAAGUCGUUAAUGGAUACAAUAUGGGAAGGUUGAGCUGCUGUUUAUCUGUUCCUAGAGAUGCUAGAAUUCUGGAGAAUUUUAUCUUUGAAAAUCUUUAAAUUGUUGCAUGAUGAGUUCCUGUAUGAUGAGAGUUUAAAUUCCUACCACAGCCAUAUAUACAUGCUUGUUAGACUAUGAACCACACAUUUACUUUUUACUGCUUAUGAGCAUUGAGUGUGGUCAAGCUGUGUAGACCCUUAGGAGCUUGUCAUGUGGUUAAAUCAAGAUUCACUUGCACGUUCACUCACACAUGCUACUUCUACUCCAGAAGUACCAUCUACAUAUAUCCAUCCAUUUCCAUCUCCAGAACCACCUAAAAAUAUUCUACUCCUAAUCCGGGAGAGAAUAGCCAAAAAUAUUCUCCUAUUUCUGUUUUUCCCUGUGAAAUAAUGCUCAAGUUAUCUUGGUUACUACCACUUGCUAUAUUAUUUCAGGAGAUGAGUGCUCUAAAAAAAGAAAAAAAAGAAAAAAAAGAAAGAAGAAGAUAAAAAAAAGAAAGAAUGCGAGGAAAUAAAAAGGGGCAAGUGCCCGGAACCUCGAAAGAAAAGAAAAAAGUGAGAAGAGAGGUAAAAAUGGACAAGUGUUCGAUAGUAGAAUUAGGGGUACAAGAUACCCACCUGAGAGAAAAGAAAAAGAAAAUAUAGAGCAUCUCAUUCUCCUCAGAAAGUUUCAAAAGAGCAAGGAAGGUAUGUAUCCCCUCAAAAGAGCAAAAGUAGAAUUAGACUUUCACCAUUGUUAUCACCAUCAUCACCAUACACCAUUCACUCGCCACACAUGCACAUCUUAAUUUGACUUAUUGAUUUGUUUCUUUGGAUCCAUGGUUUGACUAUACAAUACAUGUCUUGUAAGUAUGUAUACUUUAUCUCCCACCUAUGAGCUCUAGAUAUUAAAGUCUUAUUAGAGUAGGGUGAGAGAGAAGGCAAUGCCACUAUGCUUUAUACCAUAAAUACUACAUACUUUGAGAGAAGGCAUACACCAUUACUGCCUUGGUAAGGAUCCAGAAAUACCACAAAAGAGAGACAAGAGAGAGUCAUACAAGGAAUCUCUGAGUUUUAUUUGAAAAUCUGCAAAAACUCCUGAGCUAUAGUUGAUCAAGAACAUGAGACAUGGCGCUUGAUUAGACCGUUCUAUCUUUUAACUACUCAAGACAGAAGUGACGGUUACAAGUCCCAUGGUGAAAGGUAAAUGAGUAAGUUUUAAGUCUUAACAGUUUACUCUAACCAGAAAUGAGAUCUUGUUUAAACGCAUGUGUAUCUUUAAGUUAUGAAACCACUGCAGAAACUCUUGAGUUCAUCUUUGCUCAGGGACGAGCAAAGGUUAAGCUUGG